GCUCUUUUUCAGCUAGCAUCAGCCCUAUUUUAUAGAUAUUAUAUUUAUACAGAAAAAGGUAUUGUUUCAUUCCUUCAGUACUAUCAAGAAGAACCUUAUUAUUACUCAAGGCGUCUUUUAAAAGGUCACCUUAAGGAAAAAGAAACUGAGUUUUUAUAAUAAUAAUAAUAUGUAUGUACUAAGAGAUUACUUUUUCUAGUACUAUUACAAUGAGAAGAGAGAAAGAAAAGGGUGACCAACUUCACAGCAAACCCAUUCCGGCUCAUACUAUUUGUUGAGUAAAUCUACAGUAAUCAUUCAAAUGUACUAAACAGUAUAUGCAUAAUUGAAGUUGAAUGAACUGGGCCAAAUCCUGAAAAUGACGCUAAAUAGCCAAAAUAGUAUGUAAAAAUCUGCACAAAUAUCGCGGCUUUCACAUUAUUAUUAAUAUAAAUAAUAAUUAAGUCAUUAUAUCAUAUUCAUACUAUAAUAUGGUACCCCUCUUAAAGACGAGCGACUCCAUUUUAAUUUAUUAAAAUAAAUACGAUUUCGUUUUAA
rnacentral:lncRNA from 1 species